rnacentral:lncRNA from 10 species
CAGAGAGGUAUGCAUGUUCAGUUCCUCAGACAGCUACUGACAUACAAAUGGCACCUUCUUCCCUGCCUGAGCCUCCAGAGACAUCCAAGACCCUGCGGUUGGCCAGCUGCAGGGCCAAGUACAGUUCUAAGGGAAUUUCAUUUCCCCUGGAAACUAAGGCGCUUUCUUCCUCCCUUGGCUCUUAGAAGUACCACCCCACGGCCUCGUCCCUGUUCCUGUGACUGACUGCCAAUCACCUUUACCAACCCACCCGCCCUAUAAUUCUGACAUGAGUGUCACAUUCCCUUGGAGCCACCUGGAAAUGUCUGGAAAUACCUUUGCCCUAGAGAGUAGUGGUAUCACCUAAUAGGAGUUAUUUGUUUGCUGGUUUGUUUAUUUCUUCCUACUUUCCAUUUUAAUCACCUUUUUAUAUCAGUCCCAAAGCUUUUGCUUGUUCUUAUUAUCAUGAAACCUUCUUUCUUACCUUUUCUCUAUUAGAAUUCCUG